rnacentral:rRNA from 1 species
UACGUAGGGGGCGAGCGUUGUCCGAAUUCACUGGGCGUAAAGCGCGCGUAGGCGGCUUGUUAAGUUGGAGGUGAAAUCCCGGGGCUCAACCCCGGAACUGCCCCCAAAACUGGCAGGCUUGAGGUAUGGAGAGGGAAGUGGAAUUCCAGGUGUAGCGGUGAAAUGCGUAGAUAUCUGGAGGAACACCCGUGGCGAAGGCGGCUUCCUGGUCAUAUCCUGACGCUGAGGUGCGAAAGCUAGGGGAGCGAACGGG